GAAAAGCCUUAUUUAAAACAAUGUGGAAUUAGUGUUUCAGACAAUAGUGCCGGCUGCUGCAGUUAAGGUCUGAGUUAGACCUACUCUGUUGUCCUAGCCACAGAAAGGGUAGAAGCCUGCUAUUUCUUUUUAAUUUCUUUUGAUUUUAUGUGCAUUGGUGUUUUGCCUGCAUGUAUGUCUGUGUGAGGGCAUCAGAUCUUGUAGUUACAGACAGUUGUAAGUUGCCAUGUGGGCACUGGGAAUUGAACCUGGGACCUCUGGAAGAGUAGUCAGUGCUCCCAGUCACUGAGCCAUCUCUCCAGCCCUGAAGCCUACCAUUUCCAAUUAAAUACGUUAGGAUUUGAUGUUAGAGCUGAGAUGUGGACUUUGUGAUAAAGCACCAUAACUUAUGCUUUUGGAUACUCUUCCAUUUUAUUUUUGGGAUGUGACUGUGUGUGUGUGUGUGUGUGUGUGUGUGUGUGUGUGUGUGAUGGUCAUGGGCACACAGAGGUGUUCUCAGCUCAGGGCUUAUGCUUGCUUGCACUGUCUUCUUAUCCCCUGGGCUGCCCUUCUAGCCACGCCUCCCCCGAGUUUUAAAGGUAGAUCUUCUUUGUUGAGGAAACUGGGGUCACUGUUUUUAUAAUAUCCAAAAUAUUGUGGAGCAUUUUGGACUUCUUUUUGUGGAUCUGUGUGUGGAGGUGUGCACCUGUGGUGUCUGUUUGCAUUUGGAUGUUAGCAUGUGCACAGCAUGCCACAGCAAGGCACACGUGAGGAAGUCAGAGGGCAGCCUGGGUUGUUAGUCUUCUGACAUUUUUGGCAAUUCCAUGCCAAUUAUUUUAUAGAGUAACCCCAGUUGUUCCAGUUGCCUUUGACACCUUCUGGUGCUUGAGAUUGAACCUAGGGCCUCACACACAGCAGGCAAGCAUUCUCCAGCAGCCGCUGCUGGCUUUGGUACACCCCCCACCCCGCACCCCAACCUCCAACACUGGGGCUUACGUCUGUCUUUGUGAUGAGAUUCAGAUGAUGGAUCUGUGGCAGGAAUAGCUCAGAAGUGAUGGUUGGAUCCUAUUAGGCAUGUGAUUUCAGUUUGUCCUGUGACUGUGGGUGUGCCUUUUAUCAACUACAAUCGGUCUUUCAGCUCUCCUCUCUGAAGUUGCUCUUUUCUUCUCUGUAGUGAACAACUCUUCCAUGCAUAGCUACCUUAAACGGUCAUAAACUUCUUUAAACUUCGCAUUAUAGACACACACUCAUAAAUAUUUAUAUUUAUCAAUAUAGAAUACACAUAAUAUAAUUCAUAAUAUGUGAUUUUAUGAAUUCCCAUUUUGUUCAGUGGUUUAUGGUCUGUAACUAUUAUUUCAUUUUGAUGAUGAUAUAGUCACUUAUUAGGCCAUUAGGAAGUCCUCUUCCAAAUAGAAAGUUUCUUAAUAAAUUAAUAUAAAACAGAGAGUCUUGGAGCACAGGUUUUCUUCUGUUACCUUCUUUGUUGAGGUAUAGUUGGCUCUUUUGGGCAUACAGCUCUAUGCCAUGGGACUGGGUCAUAGUCACUGAGGUAUGAAAUGGACCCUUCGCUGCAGAGUGGCUGUCCCUGUCAUCAUCCUCUGUCCUCCCUGCAGAGUACCCUGUGAGUGGGGUCAGAAGGAUGUGGUCCUCUGAUUUCUUGUUGCCUUUAACCCAUCACAGUGGAGCCUCAUUCAUGGUGUUGUGUGCCCUCGUUCCCUGUGGCUGCUGGUACCAAGUACCAUAGCUUGGCUUAAAAUAGCAGAAACUCACUUUCUUACAGUUCCCAGCCCAGGAGUCUGAAAUCACGGGAUUGGCAGAGCCGAGUUCCCCUGAGUGCUCAGGGAAGUCUUUCCUUAACCUCUCUCUGGUGUUUUCGUUAGUAAAACCCUUGGUUUGUAGCUCUGUUGCUGCCGCCUGCACUUCUGUUGUCAUGUGACCUUCCCAUGUGUCUGUGAUUUCCCUCUUUCCUUGGAUGCAGGGCCACAGAAUUCUAGUACAAGCACCUUCUAAAUUAAUGAGUGACAUGCAAAGGUCCUGAUUUUUCUCUUUCCCUUUUCUUCUCCCUCCACCUCCCCGUCUUCUUCUGAGGCAAGGUUUUAUUCUGCAAUCCAGGUUGACCUGGAACUCACUGUAUGACACAGAGCAGCCUCAAACCUGGGACAGUCCUUCUGCCUCAACCCUGGGGUGCUGGAAUCCCAGGCACCACGACGUCCAGCUUCUUGUGCAGUUGUGCGCUCCUGUAAAUACCUAGCAGUAGAAUUGGUGGACGGUGUGGUGAAAGUGACCUUUAUCUCUCUCCCUCUCUUGGUCUGUGUCUGUUGCUAAUGCUGGAGCCUGGACUUAGUGUUUAAUAUGCUAACCAAGCCCUUUACCACUAGUCCAUAUCCCCCGCCCCCUAGCUUUACCUUUAUAGGAGGUUGCCGCCUGGUUUGCAAAGUGACUAUAGUUUUCCAUUCCACCAGGAAGACAUAAGAAUCCCACAGCCCUUGUCUUCUCCAGCUCUUGAUGUUUCAGGCUUAAACACAAAAAGUCAUCUGGGUGUGGCAGCAUAUGCUUUUAAUCCCAGCAGCUGGGAUGCACAGGCAAGUCUAUCUCUCUGAGCCUGAGGUUAGGUCGGAUGGGGAGGUAUAGAAAGAUGUCUCAAAAAAUAC
rnacentral:lncRNA from 1 species